rnacentral:rRNA from 1 species
UACGUAGGGGGCGAGCGUUGUCCGGAAUUAUUGGGCGUAAAGGGCUCGUAGGCGGUUUGUCGCGUCGGGAGUGAAAACCUUGGGCUUAACUCAGGGCUUGCUUUCGAUACGGGCAGACUAGAGGUAUGCAGGGGAGAACGGAAUUCCUGGUGUAGCGGUGAAAUGCGCAGAUAUCAGGAGGAACACCGGUGGCGAAGGCGGUUCUCUGGGCAUGAUCUGACGCUGAGGAGCGAAAGUGUGGGGAGCGAACAGG